UUUCUCCGGUAUGUUUGACGUCGUGCCUUAAUAAUUUGUAGAUCAGGAAAACGCCGUCGUUGGACUUCUUGGUGCUUCCGCGUUAGGCCUCUCGUGACAGGGUUGCUGCAAUCAAAGAACUCCGGACACGAAUCCUCUCCCUCCUCUCUCUCACACACACAAACACACAACUGCCACUUCGUUGGAAUAGACUUAUUUUUGUUGACUGAUACAAUUUAGGGUUUCGAUUCGCUUAGUUCCUCUGAUGCUUUCUCAAGAAUUAGGGUGAACCAUGUUGCAGAUGCAAUCACGGUUGGUGCUCUGAAACGUCUUUGCACUCGGUCGGACCUCAUGCAUCGGCUAUUGUCUCUCUAGUUCGUCAAAGAACGCUGUAGAUGCAGUUUCUAAUGCAGAACCUUGGACAGUGCCAUAGACAGCAAAGCCUUUUCUGCAGGUUAAUCUCAAACGGUUGAGCAAUUAUUUUUGUUCUUGAAGUAUACAAUACAAACAUAUGCAGCAAUAAAGAAUUGUAAAGUGGAAAUUUCUGGUGCUGCAAGUAUGCUCCUCUGGAAUGCCUCAUUCUAUUUAGUAGAAUCUUGGAUAAUACCAUUCCUGGUUGUACAAUGGGCUUCAAAAGUACACCUGACAUGCAGAUGGCAAGCCUUGUGCUACCUUUUGGGCCUCGCUGAAUUGCAAUGCUCCAUUGCUUCCUUGCAAGGUUCCACACCCUUCCAUCCAAUUGGUUCAGGUAUUAGCCAAUUGAUGUUGGCUUGGGCUGCCUCAUCCUUUCCAUGGCCAACCGGCUCACACGGGUCAACUCAACUUUGUUGCCAAUUCUUUCCCCACUUCGUUCACUGUCUCAAGGUGUUGAGUAAUCAAUCACACGAGAUCCAGUGGCAAUGGCUCUUUAUGCCAAAGUAAUUUCUGGUUGUGCCCUAUUUGAUGGAGUUCGUCUUCCAUGGGUUUCUUCUCCCCUCCUAUGGUGUUCAAUUCUGGUGAGUUCAGUAGCUUUCGCCUUGGCACAUUUUAAUGUGCGGAGGAUGCUGCCACUUGUGUUCUUUGGAGUGGUGAUCGGUUCUAUUUUGCAUGAUUAAGAAACCUGUUGGCAUCCAUGCUCUUGCAUAGAUUUUGGAAAGCCUUUGUAUUCUUAGAUCUUACGAAAUUACAUUCUUGUGCUUAUAAUUAUUAAUCAGGUCAAUUCACCAUUUCUUCUUUUGCCGUGUGUACUUUAUACUUUUUUUUUUUUUUUUCUGGAAUUUCAAAAGAUUGAUCCAGACGGAUAUUCCCCAUGAAGUUCAUGCUUACU